GGAUUAGAUACCCUGGUAGUCCACGCCAUAAACGAUGAAUACUCGUUGUUGGAGGUAUUGACCCCUUCAGUGACUAAGCUAACGCGGUAAGUAUUCCGCCUGGGAAGUACGGUCGCAAGAUUAAAACUCAAAGAAAUUGACGGGGGCCCGCACAAGCGGUGGAGCAUGUGGUUUAAUUCGAUGCAACGCGAAAAACCUUACCUAGGUUUGAAAUAGUCAAGAAAAGUACGAGAAAUCGUCUUCCAGCAAUGGCUUGAUUACAGGUGCUGCAUGGCUGUCGUCAGCUCGUGCCG
rnacentral:rRNA from 1 species